UUCUCGGCUUAGACAAUGUUUAUUUUUAAAAUUACUUCGCCAAUGAACUCAUACAUAAGAUGCAUGGGUCGUUUUUUAGUACGUUAAAACAUGAGCAUCCGAUCUUUAUCUGAUAUAGUGUAUAAAUACAGGUAGUGUUGCGGGUUAGAACAUGCAUAGGGCGCUUUCCAUUUAAUGGUCUGACCGGUCAGACCUGAAUUUUUGUCUCUGUAUCAAUGGAAAGAUCUGGUCUAUGUUUCUC